UCGAGAGAAAGAUGUGCUCUGGAUUUCCGUUUGUCAACAUGCUGACGCCAAUUACUAUCUCUCGCCGUAACCGAGAAUGCCUUGCCUUAUCUGUAAUCCUGGUUGGGCAUGGAAUUCCAGGACUGGAACUGGAAAGCUCAGAAAUAUUCGGAAUUUGAAUGAGAAAAGGCCAUCUUUCUCGAGUCACUUGCGGAGUCAUGCGAGGACAUUCUCGUGAAAAAAACAACAAGAGGACCACGGUAUUCUAGGACGCUGCCUGCCUUUGGAAACCUUCAGCUGCCGAAUAGCUGUAAUGUGUACCCGUAUUUGCAAAAAUGCAAAAUAGCAAGACCAAAUGGACAAAAUGACGAGAUGAGAAACCAGAUGUCAGCUGCACCCACACACCACACACCACACACGUCCCAAGAGCGCCUGCCAUGAACUUGCAGUUAUUUCCGUAUGGAAGUAUACAUUUAAUUGACACUACUGUGGUCCGUAUCGAUGAUACAUGGAUAUACAAAACGUUGAAUAUUAUAGAAAUGACUUUUUUUAAUAGAUGAUUCUUCUGGACUAUUAUAAAGCUUGUAAAUGAUUUCUGGGUAUUGAAAUAGCUUUUGUAAUAGGUGAUAUUCUUGAUUAUUUUAGAGCUUACAAGUGAUUUCUGGAUGUAAUGAUACUUUAUUGGAGCCGUAAAUCAAGUGCAUAUUUUUUAUUCAUCUAGACUGA